AGAUUCAUUUCGUAGCUCAUUGGCCCAGACAACAGAUGAAUCUCUUAUCUGCACACAAAACUAGUUGAUGGCUCCCUCCAUUAAUUAUGACUCCCAAUAUGUAAUGAAAGAUGCUGAAAGCUACAAUUUAGAAACCGAGAUAACUUUGAAUGAGGUUGAUUAGAGAUUACUUGAAGUACUUUUGGACCAAAACUAGCUAAUCCAAGGUUCGCUUUUAAGUAUUAUGUGAUGAGUGGUGAUAGUGGAUUUCUAUUGAUUACUGCUCCAAUUGGAGAGGGCUUAGUUAUGAAUUUUCCUUGUGGAUCUUUCGGGAUUGAUAUAACCAAGAUAUUGCUCUUUAUGAUGUAGGCAGGAUAUUGUUCUUUUUGGUAUAACCAGGAAGUUGCCUUCGAUUGGAUUGUUCUUUUUUAU